rnacentral:misc_RNA from 1 species
UCCGGCUUAUCACCGGCAGUCCCCUUAGAGUGCCCAACUAAAUGAUGGCAACUAAGGGCGAGGGUUGCGCUCGUUGCGGGACUUAACCCAACAUCUCACGACACGAGCUGACGACAGCCAUGCACCACCUGUGCACUGGCCCCAAAGGGCUGCCGUAUUUCUACGACAUUCCAGUGCAUGUCAAGCCCUGGUAAGGUUCUUCGCGUUGCGUCGAAUUAAACCACAUGCUCCGCUGCUUGUGCGGGCCCCCGUCAAUUCCUUUGAGUUUCAGUCUUGCGACCGUACUCCCCAGGCGGCGAACUUAACGCGUUAGCUUCGAUACUGAGAGCCAAAUUGCUCCCAACACCCAGUUCGCAUCGUUUAGGGCGUGGACUAC